CUUAAUCUUGUGAACUUAUGGCUUAUAUGGAACUUGUGUGUUUGAGGGGUAGUGGUUAAAACUGUUGCUAAUGGCAUCACCUAUAUGCUCCACGGGGUUCCAUUUCAUUUUGUAGUUCGAGUGCUUGUCACUUUGAUUUGAUCUCUACAAAUUUACGUCAGUUAAUUUUGUUCAUCUAAUGGGUUCAGGAGAUGAUGAUCUUUUGUGGCAUGUAUUUGAUGAUUUCGAUAGACUUGUGUGAUGGCCAUUGUGCAUUAAUAAAUUUUCAAUGUUAUUACAAACUUCCUUUCCUUUCCCCUCACCCCAGCCCCUUUGACCACCGGCAUAUUCCUUCCACCUGCAAACCAUAGGCGCCGUUAAAAAUUCUACUUUGGACAGUCUCUAAACCACUGGAUGAUGGAGCACACCUAAUAAGAUUCAUACACCCUUCAUUAGUCAACAAAACCCAUUCUGG
rnacentral:lncRNA from 1 species